CUCUCUGGGAGGGGGUAGCUAAGAAAAGUAUUAGCUUAGAUGAAGACCAAGAAUAGGAGGUUUUUUUAGGAACUCUGUUUUCUGCUACUUUAUCCUUAGUCUGUAGUUCUUACCUAACUGAAAAAAAAAAAAAAACGCUCUGUAGAAACUUGGCAUGACAUGGAGACAGUUACAAAAUUUGUACCAAUGCCGCUUCCUAUAUGGAAAAGAGAUCCUUCAAGAACUAAAUCUGUCCCUAUCCUGAAGGAGACUGGAGGCUGCAGAAGGCAGAUCCUAACUGAGUGUGGUAGUAGAUUGCUGUGGAAGAUGACAGCGGGCAAAUGUGCUGUGUGACGAGGCAUGACAGAAGGCUGCAAAUAACACAUAUGGUGCUGGUUAACUUCUUGGGGAAUCCAGGUCCUGACAUCUCGAUUCACAAGGUUCACAAGCAAGGACAGCUGCUGUUUCUUUAAGAGGCAGAGAGGAAACAUCAAGGGCUAUAGCCCAAGGCAGUACUUUUUACUUCCAAAAUAUUCUAAGCAAUGGGUUUGCUGAGCCACAAAAAAAAAAAUAUCUUUCAGCAUCCAUUAAAAUUAUAGCUGUGCCAUAUACCUGAGAAGCUUAAGUGUUGAUAUAUGACAUAUAACUUCUGUUUUGAAGUAAUUACCAAGUGUAAGCUGUGUUUGCUGAAACAGGAUACAAAAUUAGCUGAGACCAUUAAUUCUCCCCUGUGGAAGUGGCCCGCUCCUGAGAGCAGUCUGUAACUCCAGGUGCCAUGUCCUCCCUUGGCAUACAUCUUGCCAGGACUGUAAUUUUAAUUCUCUAAAUAGAUGUUUUACUAGAUCAGUUAACAUCUUUGCUCUUGUCAGAGAAUCUCAAAAUGUUUGACAUAAGAUUAUAAUUAUGUCCAAUAUCAUUCCUAGGAAGGUGCCUAGCUGGGAGGUGAAGACUCCUGUAAGAAAUGCAGUAAACCAAGCUUCUGAGAAGACACCUUUUUUUUUUUUCUAGUGGUAUAUCAUUUAUGGCACUGGUCAUCAAAGCAUUUAGUCAUGCACAGAAAUCUCAUCCAGUUCAGCAAAGUGAUUUUCUGUGUGUGGGAGCUCUCCAGCUGUAAAAUUAGGGUAGUAUAACUUUUCUAUCUGCUCUAUGAACUUACAGGGUUUAUAGAUGAACUUAGGAGUAUAUGUCACCAUGCCAAGAAGAGUGGUAGUUAUUAUUCAUUAAGCUGCAAAAUGGAGGCUGGGGGAAACAGUAAAGGUUGGGCACCAGAUUAAUACCAUGUCCACUUUUUAUAUUAUUUCUUAUAUUUCUUAAAGAUCUGACUGCUGGAGGCAUGUGAUUAAAUAUUUCCUACAUUUCAAAACCAAAUAAAUGAAAUGCAGUUGCCCUCCUCUAUAGGAGA
rnacentral:lncRNA from 1 species